rnacentral:SRP_RNA from 1 species
GCCAGGCGAGGUGGCACAUGCCUGUAGUCCCAGCUACUCGGGAGGCUGAGGUGGAAGGUCGCUUAAGCCCAGGAGUUCUGGGCAGUAGUGAGCUAUGCCCAUCGGGUGUCUACACUAAGUUCGGCAGCAAUAUGGUGAUCCUACCAGGAGCUGGGGACCACCAGGUUGCCUAAGGAGGGGUGAACCAGCCCAGGUUGGAAAUGGAGCAGGUCAAAACUCCCGUGCUGAUCAGUAGUGGGAUCGUGCCUAUGAAUAGCCACUGCACUCCAGCCUGGGCAACGUAGGGAGAUGGCGUCUCAA